CGCAAUACGUACUCUGCGCUCUCGUAUACCGUUCGCGAGUUCAUGAAGUUUAUGGAAGUACUGCGGGUGCGGCAGCGUGGCGCCUUUGUUCUCGCUGGCCCGCGUGGCUGGGCUGUGACCGGUGCUAUAUUCCGUGCCAGUCGAUAUUGCACCAGUCCCGGCCUAUCCAAGCGGGCCCGGCCUUCGCAGACCGCUAUGCUACAAGACAGCAUCCGCGGCCGCGAUCCCGUUAGCCGGUCUCGGUCGUUCACUGCUGUGGCCACGCAUAGGGCGUGAUUCGGUGUAACCGUUGUGUUAGCUAUCAAAUUGCACCAAUCCCGGCCUGCAUGCGGCCACUGUGAGUGUUGGGCUGUUGGCUUUGUGUUGACUUUACUUCGCCGAGUUGCCUGUUACCCCGAGACACUUGCACGUGGCAUCUUGCAAACCAGGGUUCUAUGGCAUGAGCAAGACAACUCUAUCACCACCACCAUCUUCGUUGUAAUGAAUAAAGUUCAUAACAGAACUUAUUCAUCUACUAGUUAUGCCGCCCAGGCUUUGCACGUGCGGAAAUUUCUAAAAAUCCUUAGUGAGAUCGACGGUAUCGAGAAAAUCUACAUGGAAAAAUCUCAAGCUUCCAGACCUAGCAGUUUCAGCUUUAUAUUGAUAUGUUGAAACUAACGUAUUCACGCCUUUUUAGGGUUCCGUACCUCAAAAGGAAAACGGAACCCUUAUAGGAUGGAUUUUUGUUUGUUGUCUGUCUGUCUGUCAAGAAACCUAUAGGGUACUUCCUGUUGACCUAGACUAGAAUCGUGAAAUUUGGUAGGUAGGUAGGUCUUAUAGCACAGGAUGGUUGUCUUCCAACGUUUCUCCUUCCGCUACGUUGCCUCCAUUCCAGUAGCAAUCGAGUCCAUCGGUCAUCUGUAGUCCUACAGACAUGCUCAUUUUCACAAGGAUCUCUAAUUUUUUUGAAAAUAAAAUAUAGCUUAUGUUACUCGGAAAUAAUGUAGCUUUCUACAGGUGAAAGAAUUUUCAAAAUUGGUUUCGAUCGGAAAAUUACAUAGUACAAACUACAAUAAUAAAAAAUAUCAUCGUCAUCUCAAACUAUCGCCGUCCAACUACUGAGCACGGGCCUCCUUUCAGAAUGAGAAGGGUUUAGUUAGGCCAUGGUUCACCACGCUUUAGCUAAGUGCGGAUUGGCAGACUUCACACAUCUUUGAAGACAUUAUGGAGAAAUUUCAGGCAUACAGAUUUCCUCACGGAAUUUAAAUCAUAAAAACAAAAGAAUAAUUAAAAGCUUGUUUUGGCAUAGUUGGCAGGAAAAAAUCUUCAACGUGGCAACCCUUUGGUGAAACAUUCAAUUGUCAAGUUCCCCGCGAGAGCAGGACGGAGUUAUUCAUCACGCGUGUGCGAGCGAGAGAGAAGAGGGAGUAACCGCCAUAUUGGCUUUCAUUGGACGAGCGGAAGAGCACAAAUGAAGAUGAAGAUUCAACGUCUACGGAAACUUGCGUGCGCCGCGGGUUUCGCGGCUUCGCUCGUGUUCGUGCUUCGUGGCGUUCCCCGCCAGAAGUCGACUGCGAACUUCGAAUAGACUGCGAAAAGUUGCGAAACUUUGCGGAAGUUUACAAAAAACCGGCUAAGUGCUAGUCAGACUCGCGCACCGAGGG